rnacentral:misc_RNA from 1 species
GAUGAAGAACGUAGCGAAAUGCGAUACGUAAUGUGAAUUGCAGAAUUCAGUGAAUCAUCGAAUCUUUGAACGCAUAUUGCGCUCUUUGGUAUUCCGAAGAGCAUGCUUGUUUGAGUAUCAGUAAACACCUCAAAACUUUUUUUUAUUUUUUAAAAACCAGUUUUGGACUUGAGCAAUCCCAACACCAAUCUUUUUUAGAUCGGUGGCGGGUUGCUUGAAAUGCAGGUGCAGCUGGACAUUCUCCUGAGCUAAAAGCAUAUUUAUUUAGUCCCGUCAAACGGAUUAUUACUUUUGCUGCAGCUAAUAUAAAGGGAGUUUGACCGUUUUGGCUGACUGAUGCAGGAUUUCACAAGGGUCGGCAACGAUUCUUGUAAAACUCGAUCUCAAAUCAAGUAAGACUACCCGCUGAACUUAAGCAUAUCAAUAAGCGGAGGA